rnacentral:piRNA from 1 species
UCACAGGGAUUCAGUGUUCUUAACAGG